rnacentral:rRNA from 1 species
CCCUUAGAUGUCCUGGGCCGCACGCGCGUUACACUGAUGCAUUCAACGAGCUUAUAACCUUGGCCGAGAGGCCUGGGCAAUCUUGUUAACGUGCAUCGUGAUAGGGAUAGAUUAUUGAAAUUAUUAAUCUUGAACGAGGAAUUCCUAGUAAACGCAGAUCAUCAAUCUGCAUUGAUUACGUCCCUGCCCUUUGUACACACCGCCCGUCGCUCCUACCGAUUGAAUGGUCCGGUGAAAUCUUCGGAUUGCUGAUCAAAUUCCAGCAAUGGAGCUUGAUUGCGAGAAGUUGAUUAAACCUUAUUAUUUAGAGGAAGGAGAANUCGUAACA